CCAGAGAACUUAGCAGAGAUGCUUUGGUGCCUUCGGGAACUCUGAGACAGGUGCUGCAUGGCUGUCGUCAGCUCGUGUUGUGAAAUGUUGGGUUAAGUCCCGCAACGAGCGCAACCCUUAUCCUUUGUUGCCAGCGGCUCGGCCGGGAACUCAAAGGAGACUGCCGGUGAUAAACCGGAGGAAGGUGGGGAUGACGUCAAGUCAUCAUGGCCCUUACGGCCAGGGCUACACACGUGCUACAAUGGCGCAUACAAAGAGAAGCGACCUCGCGAGAGCAAGCGGACCUCAUAAAGUGCGUCGUAGUCCGGAUUGGAGUCUGCAACUCGACUCCAUGAAGUCGGAAUCGCUAGUAAUCGUAGAUCAGAAUGCUACGGUGAAUACGUUCCCGGGCCUUGUACACACCGCCCGUCACACCAUGGGAGUGGGUUGCAAAAGAAGUAGGUAGCUUAACCUUCGGGAGGGCGCUUACCACUUUGUGAUUCAUGACUGGGGUGAAGUCGUAACAAGGUAGGCGUAGCGAG
rnacentral:rRNA from 1 species